GUCCUUCUUCCACCGCCGUAAAUGGGCCAUUAGGAACACCAUUUUGGGGUUUCCUCCGCCUAAGAGAAAUCCCUUCAACGUUUGGAUAAGAGGGUCGUACAAAUGGUCAUGGUACACAACAUCGGAAGCCAAUAUAAGGUCGAAGUCUUGCUCAAUUAGCUCGGGGUCAAUGGCCUCUCCCCAAUGAAGCGGCGCCACCUGAACGCAACCGCCGUUCGCCG
rnacentral:misc_RNA from 1 species